GUGGGUAUCCGAUUGGUCCG
rnacentral:siRNA from 1 species